AACGAACGCUGGCGGCAUGCCUAACACAUGCAAGUCGAACGAAGGCUUCGGCCUUAGUGGCGCACGGGUGAGUAACGCGUGGGAAACUGCCUAUUGGUGGGGAAUAACGACGGGAAACUGUCGCUAAUACCGCAUAAGCCCUUCGGGGGAAAGAUUUAUCGCCGAUAGAUGUUCCCGAGUCCGAUUAGCUAGUUGGUGAGGUAAUGGCUCACCUAGGCGAAGAUCGGUAGCUGGUCCGAGAGGAUGAUCAGUCACACUGGGACUGAGACACGGCGGAGACUCGUACGGGUGGCAGCAGUGGGGAAUAUUGGACCAUGGGCGAAAUCCUGAUCCAGCAAUGGCGCUUGAGUGAUGAAGGCCUUAGGGUUAUAAAGCUCUUUCGGGUGGGACGAUGAUGACGGUACCACCAGAAGAAGCCCCGGCUAACUUCGUGCCAGCCGCCGCGGUAA
rnacentral:rRNA from 1 species